GCCCUCAUCGUCUAGAGGCCUAGGACACGGGCUUUUCACGCCUGUAACUGGGGUUCGAAUCCCCAUGAGGGCA
rnacentral:tRNA from 3 species